UACGUAGGGCGCAAGCGUUGUCCGGAAUUAUUGGGCGUAAAGAGCUCGUAGGCGGUUUGUUGCGUCGGCUGUGAAAUCCCGAGGCUCAACCUCGGGUCUGCAGUCGAUACGAGCAAACUAGAGUGUUGCAGGGGAGACUGGAAUUCCUGGUGUAGCGGUGAAAUGCGCAGAUAUCAGGAGGAACACCGGUGGCGAAGGCGGGUCUCUGGGCAACAACUGACGCUGAGGAGCGAAAGCGUGGGGAGCGAACAGG
rnacentral:rRNA from 1 species